rnacentral:rRNA from 1 species
UACAGAGGGUGCGAGCGUUCAUCGGAAUUACUGGGCGUAAAGCGUGCGUAGGCGGUCGUGUAAGUCGGGUGUGAAAGCCCCGGGCUCAACCUGGGAAUUGCAUUCGAGACUGCACGGCUGGAGUGCGGAAGAGGGAAGCGGAAUUUCCGGUGUAGCGGCGAAAUGCGUAGAUAUCGGAAGGAACAUCAGUGGUGAAAGCGGCUUCCUGGUCCAGCACUGACGCUCGGGAACGAAAGCGUGGGGAGCAAACAGG